GAGGAAGCAAGAUUAGAAAAUUUAGUUUUAUCAUUUAUGAAUUGGUUUGAUCGUAGACUUGAUAGGUUAACUAAAAUAUUGGAAAGUUUUAAAAAUAUUGAUGGAUAUAUUCCUGUUAGCAAAGUACGCGACGCAUUUACAAUGUUUAAAUUAAAUAAAGAAAUACAAGACAGAAUUCUAAAAAGAUUGACAGAUCAAAAUGGUUGGGUUAAAUAUGAUGAUCUUAUAAGACAUUUGAAAUGAAAUUUAAUACAUUGUUUAUGUCUGAAAAUUUAUAAAUGACCGCUAUUUAAGUGUUUACUGUAUAAUUUAUUAUUGUUUAAUAAAUUUCAAUGUGACAAAGUAAC